AGAUAGAGGUUGCGUAUUUCAUCAGUAUCCGGAUUGAUGCGGCAGGCGCAGUUUAAGAUGCGGAGAAAGGGGAAGACGCCGAAAGACGAGACCACCUGAAGUCAGAUCUUGGGCAUACGGUUAAGAGCCGUAUGACUGUCAUCCGGAUAUCGGAUGGGGCGCUAUCCGA
rnacentral:ncRNA from 1 species